UCAAAAGGUGGACAUAUGGGCUGUGCCUCCUACUGAUCACUCAGUAUAUAAGGCACUGUAGAUCACAGUAAGACACAUUGAGAUCUGACCUCUCUUGGAAGAACCAAUUUGGAGGCUGCAGAGAUGAACCAUUUUCUGUGCCUUCUGGCCAUGGGGCUGUACCUGUGCUUGUUAAGCCAGGUGAAUGCAGAACGGCGCUUGAGGAGGAAUUGUAUCCUAAACGCAGUAAAUGACAACAAGGCCAGAGUGGACACGUACUAUGAUUACUCCAGAAAAUAGAGUUUAUCACGCGUAAAGAGGAAUGCUGUCGGACCUGCAGACAUCCUGCGGCUACUGAAGCAGCCUGCUC